UACGUAGGGUGCUAGCGUUAUCCGGAUUUACUGGGCGUAAAGGGCGCGUAGGUGGUCUUUCACGUCGGUGGUUAAAGCCUGCGGCUCAACCGUAUUAAGCCGCCGAAAGUGGAAGACUCGAGUGCAGGAGAGGAAAGUGGAAUUCUCAGUGUAGCGGUGAAAUGCGUAGAUAUUGAGAAGAACACCAGUAGCGAAGGCGGGUUUCUGGACUGUAACUGACGCUGAGGUGCGAAAGCGUGGGUAGCAAACAGG
rnacentral:rRNA from 1 species